rnacentral:misc_RNA from 1 species
ACAAUCUAUGGAUUUCAUUUCAUAAACCCAAUCUGUGUAUUUGUCCUUGUUGCUUCCGCAAGUCCGACAUUAUCAUCGGCCCUCGCUCGUGGGGGAGUUUGCGGGAGGAUACCUCAUCAUCUGCCUUAUUCGUGUCGUCUGAAAUCUUGCAUUGCAAUUGUUA